UACGGGGGAUGCAAGCGUUAUCCGGAUUUAUUGGGUUUAAAGGGUGCGUAGGCUGUGAGGUAAGUCAGCGGUGAAAUGCCCCCGCUCAACGGGGUGAAGUGCCAUUGAUACUGCCUUGCUGGAAUGCGGAUGCCGUGGGAGGAAUGUGUGGUGUAGCGGUGAAAUGCAUAGAUAUCACACAGAACACCGAUUGCGAAGGCAUCUCACGAAUCCGCUAUUGACGCUGAUGCACGAAGGCGUGGGUAUCAAACAGG
rnacentral:rRNA from 1 species